rnacentral:rRNA from 1 species
ACUCAAAUGAAUUGACGGGGACCCGCACAAGCGGUGGAGCAUGUGGUUUAAUUCGAGGCUACGCGAAGAACCUUACCCAGGCUUGACAUGGUUAAGACAGCGCAUGAAAGUGCGUUUCUCCGCAAGGAGCUUUUCCACAGGUGCUGCAUGGCUGUCGUCAGCUCGUGCUGUGAAGUGUUGGGUUAAGUCCCGCAACGAGCGCAACCUUUGUCUUUAGUUGCCAUCAGGUUAUGCUGGGCACUCUAGAGAGACUGCCGGUGAUAAACUGGAGGAAGGAGGAGACGACGUCAAGUCAGUAUGGCCCUUAUGCCUGGGGCUACACACGUGCUACAAUGGCCGUUACAAAGGGCUGCAAACUCGCAAGAGCCAGCAAAUCCCAAAAAGACGGCCUCAGUUCAGAUUGGGGGCUGCAACUCGCCCCCAUGAAGUCGGAAUCGCUAGUAACGGUAGAUCAGCUACGCUACCGUGAAUACGUUCCCGGGUCUUGUACACACCGCCCGU